UACGUAGGGGCCUAGCGUUGUCCGGAAUUAUUGGGCGUAAAGAGCUCGUAGGCGGUUCGGCAAGUCGGAUGUGAAAUCUCCACGCUUAACGUGGAGGGGCCAUUCGAAACUGCUGUGACUCGAGUCCGGUAGGGGAGAGUGGAAUUCCUGGUGUAGCGGUGAAAUGCGCAGAUAUCAGGAGGAACACCCGUGGCGAAGGCGGCUCUCUGGGACGGUACUGACGCUGAGACGCGAAAGCGUGGGGAGCGAACAGG
rnacentral:rRNA from 1 species